UCUUGCGCAAUGGGCGAAAGCCUGACGCAGCAACGCCGCGUGGGGGAAGAAGGCCUUCGGGUUGUAAACCCCUUUCAGGAGGGAAGAAAAUGACGGUACCUCCAGAAAAAGCACCGGCUAACUACGUGCCAGCAGCCGCGGUAAUACGUAGGGUGCAAGCGUUGUCCGGAAUUAUUGGGCGUAAAGAGCUCGUAGGCGGUUUGUCGCGUCUGCUGUGAAAACCCGAGGCUCAACCUCGGGCCUGCAGUGGGUACGGGCAGACUAGAGUGCGGUAGGGGAGAUUGGAAUUCCUGGUGUAGCGGUGGAAUGCGCAGAUAUCAGGAGGAACACCGAUGGCGAAGGCAGAUCUCUGGGCCGUAACUGACGCUGAGGAGCGAAAGCAUGGGGAGCGAACAG
rnacentral:rRNA from 1 species